UACCUUUCACCUGUUUCUCGUUUUGAGACUAUGCUAUCGUAUCAUGUAGACGUGUUGCUUUUCUGCCGAUGGUCCAUCUAAUCUCAGCAUCAUGCCCGUUGAGAAGAAACUACUGUAUAUUUUGCAUUUUUUGCCUCGUUGCUAUUCAUCCGACGGAGAAGAAUCUUGACUUGCGGAAAUUCCGAUGGCUGCAGCCAGUUUUGCCCCGCACCCGCGUCCCUUUGUGAUGAAGAUGACCUGCACAAUUGGGAACUAAUUGAUUUCUGGAAGGGCUCGGAGAUUUUGACUAAACCUUCAUCAAAUGGAGGCCUGAAUCAGGAAGAAUGGCCCUCGGAGGACAUGCCACCAUCAUGGAACGGAGGCUUCGACAUCCACAUUGGUUCCCAUGGCAUAGGCGCGCCGGAAUACCUCAGGUUCUUGUCUCCCAUCCGUGACUAUGUGUCAUACCAGCGUUCCUAUGAUGGGAGCCUGGAGAUCAUUUUUCUCUUCACUAAAUACUGAUGGAAUUCCCGUUCGUCUCUACGUUCCAUACCAGCGUGCAGUACCCGCUGUACUUCCAGAUGGUGCUGUCUGCUGCCUGCGAUAUAUUCGGAGAAGAUGUUCAGGAUGGGAGCGUGUUCAGUUACCCCAACGCAGCCCUGGAAAUAGGAGCCCGUGGCAGUGUCCCUUCAGAUGUUGUCACGGUUCCACAUCAGGUCUACUGUGAAGGGACUAACAGGACUAUCUCCAAGGUAAGCAAGAAGGACAGUGGUGCUCCAGGUUCAGAGCCAGAUAAAACUGACUGGCAGCAGCAGCAGCAGCAGCAGCAGGAGGUCACUCACGCUACACUCAAUCAUGUGAACGGGCUGCGUUUGAUAGGAGUUGAUUCUCGUUUAUCAGGCGCCUUCGGCACUGCUGGUGACAAGGGCCGGUUCCCAGUUUGUCAGGGCAAAAUGGAAACUAGUGCUAGGAGCUUGUGGGAAAUUUUAGCUAAUUCAGGAAGUGUGAUCUGUGAGACUGAAUGCAAGAUCAUCAGUGGCUUGGCUGCAGAAGAAUAUCUUGAUGAGCAACACUUUCUGAACGACAACGCAGAGCUGGGGAAGCAGGUCCGCAACGGCGUUUGGGCGAUUAGCUCGCCUGAGCAGAAGGGCGCAGCUCAGAUUGGAGAACCAGAAGAUCACAGGUGCUUCUCUUUAUCCCAUCUGAUGACCGUUUUCGACCUUUUCCAUGGACAUAUUAAUUGUCGACAUUGGUUUACACACUUGAAACUGCAAGUCUUGAAUCUGAUAUUGUAUCACAAAAUACAUAGAAAAACUAAACGUGAGAGGAACUAUGUACCGCUAACCACAUUGUGCUGAAUACAUAACUCUCAGCUGGUAAAUUUAACAUGUCAGAAAUAUAUAUAGUUCUAGUCUUCUAGACACGCAUCAUGUCAAUUGUCAACUUCUAAAACAAUAGUUUAUCAAAGCGUUCUCCUACAUGGCCUAGUUAUUAUUUUAAGAGUCAUAAUUAUUGGAAAUUCAUAGUUAGAAAUGGGGCCUGUACCAAACAAACUUGUUUAUUUAUAUUUAUUCGGUUGUGAUACUAUAUGAUUUCUCCAUCCCCCAUUAAUAGUUGUUUUCCUUUUAUAUGGCACCUUCAUGUUUGUUUAACAUGUGCUCAGUUGAAACAUUAGCUUGAGCUAUGGGUUUGACAUAUGGAAAUAGAUAUGCGAACAAAUUAAAUGGUCUUACAGUGCUGAGGGUUCACAAUAGGGCUAUGCACCAUACAUCUUGAAAUGGUAAUACAACAAACACUGAAGAUAUAUAUAUAUAUUAUAUAUAUAGCACUAUAGAAACUUUGGAUAGGGUUUGAUAAGGUGGAGGUUUUGGCUGUAGGAUGGUUUUGCGGGCUGCAUCCAGAGUUUAUUCAAGGUAGAGCUUGAAUUUUAUGAAUAUAGAGGUGGAUAAGGAUAUAUUUAUAAAAAAGUAGGUAUCAGGCUAACUUUUGCGUCACUAGCACAGCUUCUUGUCACCAGGUUUUUACGCGAGUUCCCAAAACAAUCAUUUUAUAGAUCAGUGAUCAUAUAGAACUCACCAUAACCGGUUGCCCAAUAGGAAGGAUGCGGCUACCGGAAUAGGUUUAUGACUCCAUAGAGUUUGUAAACAUUACCCAUAUGGUCAGCCUAAAACAAUUGCCAUGGCUUCUUAGACAUGUCCAAUGAGAGUCGUACCCACCGGUUAUUCAGUAUACUUCUACUACGAAAUGUCAAGGAUGUAGGUUCGCACAUAAAAAUACUACACAAAUAAAAGUUGGUCAAUUAUAUAAAUAAAUCACCACAUAUCGAAACUAUGCAUGUGCCACAUAGUACCCAGGCGCCAAAUUAAGCCAGAUCUAUGGGAGUUCACGCAGCAUCCUGGUCCUCUCCUGACGCCUCGUUGCCACUCCAGGCUCCAAGUAUUAGUAAGGUUCAAUCCUUACGGUGUUUGAGAUCAGACUUCCCAUUAAGCAGGUGGUUGCAGAAGUACAAAGUAAGUGAGAUGUUACGAACCGGUCCUUAUGGUGCUAGAGUAAACUUCUCCUAGUGAGGACACCCAUACAGGAUCAUCUUCACCCUACAGGUUGACCUCUGCAGGCAUCCUACUUUCCCUGCACUACUAAAUGGCACAAUAGCACUUGCUAACACACACCACAAGCAGCUCUAGUACGUCCACACAAUGCUGAACUACAACAUGCUUAAUUGCUUAUACCAUAAAGCGAAAACAAGUUUCUCAUAAUUAUAAUCAUGUUCCUAAGCCGCGUUGUCCGGUGAGGUGCUGGGGUAAAAUGGUAUCGUUAUGGACCAGGACAUUCCUGCAGCGUGGUUUUAUGAAAAACAACUUUUGAAAAUAAUGCAUGUUAAGGCAGGCUAGGAGUAAGUGAAGACGGGGAGUCAGUAUGUACUUUCUUUCUUCAAUGUAGUCCUUGGAUCCUUCGAAGUAGUCCAGAUCCUGCUACCUGUCCUCUGAUGCUCCAUCUUCUAAUGCUCGUGAGGAUGGUAACAUAAGUACCAUCCAUCACAAAUAGAAAAAAAUAAAAACGAAAAGGUGACACAAGAGAGCAAAGGUAGGACAAGAUUUAAGAGGAAUUUUGGAGGUGGUUUCAUCAAAUACAGGUUUAGGGUAAAGAAGAUAUGUUUUUUAGAUUUUAUUGCAUUAUUCUUGGAUAUUGAGUUUAUGGGAAGUUUAUAGUUAUUUUUCCAUUAUUCUACGCCUACGGUGGCUCUAGUGUUUCUAGGAUUUUUUUUUUUGAAAUGUUCUCCCAAAGAAAAGGCUAACGCGUGCUGUGGUUGACCUGUGGGGUCCGCUUAGGCGACGUGCACCUGUACACUAGCCUGACCCAAUUUAUGGCAGGAAAGGCAUUCAUUCUUGUGGGGGCAGGGUUGGUGAUUUGCCUCUAUCUGCUAAAGUGAUCUGCACCACGUCUAGAAUUGGGAAACCCGUGGAGGGCAUUGUCUCGGCAUGGCGGAGCUGAUGGCGCGGGGUAUCAUCGACGUCGAUAUCCAAAGCAAAGAUAGCGCCUCACCAGAGUUGGCCAUGGUGGCGAUAAAAAAUGGAAUGACUCGGGAGCGAUAUUGGCUCGGGUUUGGGGGGGGGGGGGGGCAGAGAUGUGCAGGUAGGGCGUACGAGACGACGUCGUGGGGGCACACUGACAAUCAGCCAGGGCAACCAUGCUCGAUUGAAGCAUAGCGGCUCAGGGUGCACGCAGAUGAGGUGGGGCAGGGAAGGAGAGAGAGAAGGGGCACAUAGACGGAAGAGAGAGGAUCAGUAAUACUUACCAACUACUGGUCCUCGAGGCUCGCUACGCGGCUGCGGUGGCAAACCAAUGGUGAACCGACACGGUGCACCUCCAACAUUGAGAAAAUAGGGGAGCUUGGGAAACAGGAAAAGACAGGAAGAGGGGCCUGAGGGCUGCUGCCUGGUGGUGGUCCUCGAGCUGCUGCUCUGCUUGGUGCAGAGAGUGAGCUUGGGCAAGAGAGGAAGAGGGACUCUAGGGCUGCCUGCCUGGUGGUGGUGCUCGAGCUGCUGCU
rnacentral:lncRNA from 1 species